rnacentral:rRNA from 1 species
GGAUGAACGCUGGCGGCGUGUCUAAGGCAUGCAAGUCGAGCGGGCCUCGUGUUUUUAGCACGAGGUUUAGCGGCAAACGGGAGAGUAAUACACUGGAACAUACCCCCGAGACGGGGAUAACCCUGCGAAAGUGGGGCUAAUACCCGAUGGUCUUCCUAUCAUAAUUUGAUAGGAAGUAAAGAGAGUCACCUCUCGCUCGGGGAUUGGCCAGUGGCCUAUCAGGUAGUUGGUAGGGUAAUGGCCUACCAAGCCGAUGACGGGUAGCCGGCCUGAGAGGGUGUCCGGCCUCACGGGGACUGAGACACGGCCCCGACUCCUACGGGAGGCAGCAGCCAAGAAUCUUUCCCAAUGGGCGAAAGCCUGAGGAAGCGACGCCGCGUGCGGGAAGAAGCUCUUCGGAGUGUAAACCGCUUUUCUGGGGGAACAAUCCCGAUUCAAUCGGGAUGAGUGUACCCCAGGAAUAAGGGACCGCCAAUCACGUGCCAGCAGCGGCGGUAAGACGUGAGUCCCAAGCGUUAUCCGGUUUUACUGGGCGUAAAGCGUGCGUAGGCGAUCAGCUAAGUUUCUGGUCAAACCCUUUUGCUCAACAAAAGGACGGCCAGAAAUACUGGCUGAUUAGAGGCCGGGAGAGGCCAGCGGAACGUGCGGUGGAGGGGUGAAAUCCGUUGAUAUCGCACGGAACACCAAAAGCGAAGGCAGCUGGCUAGAACGGCCCUGACGCUGAGGCACGAAAGCGUGGGGAGCAAAAAGGAUUAGAUACCCUUGUAGUCCACGCCCUAAACGAUGGGUGCUAGACAUUGGAAGUGUCGACCCUUCCAGUGUCGCUUCAAAAAAGCUAACGCGUUAAGCACCCCGCCUGGGAAGUACGGCCGCAAGGCUAAAACUCAAAGGAAUAGACGGGGACCCGCACAAGCGGUGGAUCACGUGGUUUAAUUCGACGACAAGCGAGGAACCUUACCAGGGCUUGACAUGCUGGUAGUAGGAGCCCGAAAGGGUGACGAUCCUGACAUUUUUGUCAGAAAGCCAGCACAGGUGCUGCAUGGUCGUCGUCAGCUCGUGCCGUGAGGUGUACCCUUAAGUGGGGCAACGAGCGCAACCCUCGUGGCUAGUUGCUCCGAGUUUUAGCUCGGAGGUCUCUAGCCAGACUGCCGUAGAUAAUACGGAGGAAGGAGGGGACGACGUCAGAUCAGCAUGGCCCUUAUGCCCUGGGCGACACACGUGAUACAAUGGCUGGGACAAAGGGACGCGAAGCCGUAAGGCGGAGCAAAUCCCAUCAAACCCAGCCCCAGUUCGGAUUGAGGUCUGAAACUCGACCUCAUGAAGCCGGAAUCGCUAGUAACCGGAAAUCAGCCAUGUUCCGGUGAAUACGUUCUCGGGUCUUGUACUCACCGCCCGUCAAGGG